CACGGAGAUCUGAGUGUCUGCUGAGGUUACUGCGGUUAUAUGUUACUGCUACAAAUUUGUACAGAUUGUGCUUUUAUUGUGAAAGCCGUCGGACCGGAACUAACAGCACGGCGAAUCACGAGCACGGAAACGGUGUGUAUAUUCUGGUAUUGUAACGUCAACUGUAAUAAAGGCACCAACUUCGCCCGAAGGAUGGCUCAGGAAGGUGGACCACCCUUCCUCCUCUCCCUCUUCAUGUCUCUCCUCAUGCUAUCAUCUCUGUGUGGCUGUCACCCUCGCUCUCCUGGCUCCAUAAGGUCAAUGGCUGCAGCCGGGCAUGUAUCCAAUCAUACCGCAAGGAAAGUCUCAACAAUAGCUGCAGAGGUCGCAGGCUACGCUGAUGUGGCCAAACAGAUCAUUGACCUGGCUGUGUUUGGAGCGGCCCAGAACCGCUCUCACAGCCGGCUGGCCGACUUCACCGACACCAUAGGGAACCGUGUGAGUGGCUCGCACAACCUGGAGAUGGCUAUCAAAUACAUGUACGAUGCUAUGGCACAGGAUGGGUUGGACGUACAUUUAGAGCCAGUCAAAAUCCCACAUUGGGUGAGAGGGAAGGAGAGUGCAGAAAUGAUUGCACCCAGAGUCAAAAGUCUGGCUAUACUGGGACUGGGCAGCAGUGUAGGGACACCACCUGAGGGUAUCGAGGCAGAGGUGUUGGUGGUUCAGUCUUUUGAGGAGCUGAAGAAUAGAGCCAGCGAGGCCACAGCGAGGAUUGUGGUCUUUAACCAACCAUUUGUUAGCUACGGGGAGACGGUGGCUUACCGCGCUUAUGGCGCCUCUGAAGCAGCCAAAGUGGGAGCUGUGGCCACACUCAUUCGAUCUAUUACUCCAUUCUCUAUUAACAGUCCCCACACAGGUUUGCAGGACUACCAAGAUGGAGUGAAGCGCAUCCCUUCAGCCUGUAUCACUGUGGAGGAUGCUGAGCUAAUGUGGCGUAUGGCACAGAGAGGGCAGAGGAUCGUGGUCAGACUCUCAAUGGGAGCCAAGACUCUACCAGAUGCUGACUCCUUCAACACAGUGGCUGAGAUAACAGGCUGGCAACACCCUGAGCAGGUCGUCUUACUGAGCGGCCAUUUGGACAGUUGGGAUGUGGGCCAAGGCGCCAUGGAUGACGGAGGUGGAGCCAUGAUUUCCUGGGAGGCCCUGUCACUCAUCAAAGACUUGGGUUUGCGUCCGAGGAGAACUUUGCGGACAGUGCUGUGGACAGCUGAGGAGCAAGGUGGAGUCGGAGCGCAGCAGUACUACAGUCGACACAAGGUGAACAUGUCCAACUUUGACCUGGUCAUGGAGUCUGACUUGGGGACAUUUGCCCCGGUGGCUCUGCAGUUUACUGGCAGUGAUGCAGCACGAAAGGUCAUGGCAGAGGUGGUCAAACUGUUGGCUCCCAUGAAUACGACCAAACUGGAGGCACACGGAGAAGGGACAGACAUCUCCCCGUGGAUGCAGGCAGGAGUACCAGGUCGGUCGAAUCAAUGUGUCUUCUCUGUCUGUCUGCAACUAGCAACACAUGUCCAUGACAUGACAAUUGAGCAAAGUGAGACACUUGAAAUGGGAAGUAACUCAUCAUUAGCAACCUUAUUUCUGUGGUUCUGGUGUUAAUACCUUCUCUUUUUUGUGUGACAGGGCCGUGUAAACAGAAUCACAUCCUCAUUUUGAUGAACUAUGAACAUAAUACCGUAGAGAAUGGAGAAGUGGGGGCAGAUAUCCACUUUAUGUGGAAUUUCUUAACAAUCUGAAUUGAAACAUACUUCUAAUUUAGCAGUAAGGGUGAGCGACUGUAUUAUGCCAUAACAUUAUAGUUACAUUGUCACAAUCACCAAUGCUAUACUUAAAGGUAACUUUGGUUUAUUUCACUUUGACACAAUGUUUGGAAAAGGGCCCUGAGAAUUGGACCUUGGGCCUAUUGUACACAUUAUAGGUCUGUAAACACCACUAAAUAUCUAAACUAAAUGCUACUACUACUCCUAAAUAAAUAAUUAAAUAGAAAUAACGGCACAUAAUCAAUAUAACAGAAAUUUGUUUUAUUACAACACGUCCACUGAACCUGUAUGUUUUUAUAUUUUCCCAUAUAAAAAAGACACCUCCAUACGCAGAUGGUUGAAUAAUGAAGACAGUACGAUAGGACCCAGCUUUUGGCUGCUGACAGUUUUCCAGUCAACAAGGAAAUUACAGUUUUCAUGCUGGCCUGCUCCGCAGUCAUUCUCGCACAUAUUACCAGUAGCUUCACACAAUAAAUGAGUGACUUUUUUUUUCCUCACUUUUAGUUCUGGUUUCUUAUACAUGUUCGACAUGAUGUACUGUAAAUGAACCAACUUGUUACUGUAGAAGAAGCUUGCAGCGCUGAAACUGGACCUUCCUGUCAAAUGAUUUACGUUUCAUCUACUGGCCAGUAUUGUUAUCAACCCAAGUAUCCUUUUCUGUUAAAUAUCAAAGAUUUCACUGAUGUCUUCACCUGUUCCACUGUUAAUGUUAAGGUACCAUCCCUUGUUUAGCAGUGGCGACAAGAAACUGUACCAAGCCAUAGAAGUUUGCCUCAUUUUAAAACGAUGAUCUGCUCUUUCUAUCUUUUAUGUGGUCCAAACAUCUUCUCUAAAACUCUGUUUAGUUUUAGUAGAAGUGAAAUUGCACUGUAGUCAGAAAGACAAUGUGGUAUAACUUGUGGAAGAGGAACUGAAGACUUAAAAGUAAAACAAAAAUAUUUCAACCUUCAUCCAAGCAGUCCACAAACGCAUCCCCAAUAACUCAACAGGAUAAUUAGUUGCCUAAAGAUGUUCAGUUGUCUUAAUAUUAAACAACUCCAAUAGAGCAGCUGACAACUUGAUGCUGUACUCAAGUUUUCAGAAGUCUUAAUUGUUCCAUUUGAUAAUCUGUCAUUCACCAACUCCUCUCCAUGAAAUUUGUGGGUAAAAAAGAAAACAGCUGUUAACCCACGACAGUGACAGUUGAAUCCUCUGGUUCAUGAACCACCAGCUACGUUAUGAAGGCCCUUCGUCCUCGUCUGUAAGGCUGAGUCGAGGUCUCUUGGAUGGUCUCUUUACUAUUGUUGGUUGUAGUAACAGGAGUGGACUGUCCAAGGGGAAGGUGAGGGUGCACAUGCCACAAUCUCUGCUAGGCACUCUCGCCUGGGUAGCUUCAAUGCACCGACAAAGAAAUCAGUAAUUCUGUCAGUCAUGUCUACAGUUGCAAAAUGAUCGAGCACGCUUACUCUUACUGUAAGUAAAAGCAGAAGAAAAUUGAAUGUACAACUUGAUAUGUCAGACUACACACCUGUACUUCGAAAGCGAUUCUGCAGAGUUUUCCUGGAUAGCUGUGUGCCGACUGAUCUUCUCCCUGGAGGGUCAGUCAGAGCUUCCAUUGAUGGCUGUGUGCCGACUGAUAUGUUCUCUGGGGGGUCAGUCUGGGAGGCCACGUGUCUUACAGCAGGCAACAUUCGACAGAAACUGUCCACUGUGCCCUAAACAGCAACACAGGGAACAGCAACCUUUAUGCAUCAAUCCUCACAAAUAUUUUAAACAACUUUUUUCUUAAACAUGGCUUCUAAAACCAUAAAAAUAAGAUAAUCCUUUAUUAGUCCCGCAGUGGGGAAAUUCACAGGAACACAGCAGCAAAGUGGACAGUGCACACAAGAUGGUAUUGUUAUCUCUACUACCACCAUUAUUAUUAUCAUUAGUUGUACAGUAUAUACAUAUUUUAUGAAAGAUGACGCUGGAAAUGUUCUUUCUUUCAAUCGUCAUGUAUAUACAGGUACAUGCAUGAAAUUUGACCUCUGCAUUUAAACCCAUUCUUAGCAUUUAGGGGCAGUGAGCUGCUGUAAAGCACACGGGGAGCAACGUGGAGUUCAGUGUCUCGUUCAAUGACACUUUUGAAUUGAACCGUCAACCUUGUUGUUAAAGGACGUACAUUUAUGUUAUUAACAACAAAUUACGUGAAAAGACCUAAGUCAACAAAGUGUUAGUCCGUCUCCCAUCCCCAAGCACAACAGAUAAAUCUUUCAAAAUCAGUCACAAAUAUUUAGCUUAAUUAAAAAAAGGUAAACAAUUUGCUUGAAGAUGCCUAACAUUAGACUAUAGGAACAUUUCAAUUGCUCUUAAAAUGGCAACACCUGAGCACUUGUGAUUAUUAACAGCAACAGUCUUGAAUCUCAAGUUUUCCAUCACUCCUUUAACCAUCAAAUUGUUUUUGCAUGAUCGACAUGUUUCUUCAACCAACAUGAUAAACAUUUGUUUAGCUGCUACCCUGAGCAACGGCAACCACAGCAUCUCUGUCGACUGAAAAGGACGUUGAAGGGACGGUACAUCACUCACUGAUCAUUUACAUUUACUGACCAUUUAUGAGGGUUCAUAAAUGGAGUGCUGCAAGGAUGAUGUAUUUUUUGUAGGCCAACCCGGCCUACAAAAAAUACAUCAUCCUACUGGUUCCCUCGACAAAACGCCGAAAUUUUUGAAUAUUGUAGAUAAUGAGUUCUUUAGCAAACAAACAUUAAUGAUACUUAAAAUUGUAUGAUUUUUGAAGCGUAAUUCUGGCAUAGCUUAUUUUUUGGUGGCGUAUUGCGGCCACUUUUCUCCUCCUCUUGAGUCUUCCUCGUUUGUGCCUUCCUCCGAUUACCAUUUAAGAUAAUAAUAAGUAGUGUAUCUUCAACCCUGGCAAGUAACUUAGUCAGAAACAUUUGGCACAAAUCCUCCCAGAACAGACACCUGGUCUGUAUGGGAGAAUUACCCCGACAUCUCGGAGACAUUCACUUAAUUGCUUCUCUUUCGGCCUGGCUAACAAAAGCUCUACUAUUUGCUCCAAGGUACAUCAGCAAGUAUGACAUUACUUUGUAGUCAUUUCAACAGCAUUGAAUAAAAAAAAUAAAAAAAUACAUUUACGGCAGCACUUGUCGUGAAACCAAGUCAUUUGCAUGUAACUUGCAUUAUGCAAUCAGGGGGCGGUACUCGUGUUCCGGUCUGACGGCGGCCUUCCUCUCUCAAGACGCACUGCUGUUAGGAAGCGGUCCAUGAGGUGGAACAAGCAGCGGCAUCCCACUCCAUGGAUCGGCAUAUGCCGCUGAACCACAGAGCCACACCACCGGCCACUUUUCGACCUCGAGUAUACAAACCACAUCGGAGUGGACAGAAAACAACGUUAGACUGACGCAUUAAUCUGGUGCUAGCCUCCAUGUGGCAGACAGUCGGUACUUCUGGUUCCAUCACAGUGAAGGUGAUACCAUGUCGGUUCAAGACC